rnacentral:rRNA from 1 species
UGGGGAAUUUUGGACAAUGGGCGAAAGCCUGAUCCAGCAAUGCCGCGUGUGUGAAGAAGGCCUUCGGGUUGUAAAGCACUUUUGUCCGGAAAGAAAUCCUUGGCUCUAAUACAGUCGGGGGAUGACGGUACCGGAAGAAUAAGCACCGGCUAACUACGUGCCAGCAGCCGCGGUAAUACGUAGGGUGCAAGCGUUAAUCGGAAUUACUGGGCGUAAAGCGUGCGCAGGCGGUUUGCUAAGACCGAUGUGAAAUCCCCGGGCUCAACCUGGGAACUGCAUUGGUGACUGGCAGGCUAGAGUAUGGCAGAGGGGGGUAGAAUUCCACGUGUAGCAGUGAAAUGCGUAGAGAUGUGGAGGAAUACCGAUGGCGAAGGCAGCCCCCUGGGCCAAUACUGACGCUCAUGCACGAAAGCGUGGGGAGCAAACAGGAUUAGAUACCCUGGUAGUCCACGCCCUAAACGAUGUCAACUGUUGUGGGGAUUCAUUCCUUAGUAACGUAGCUAACGCGUGAAGUUGACCGCCUGGGGAGUACGGUCGCAAGAUUAAAACUCAAAGGAAUUGACGGGGUCAUAGCUGUUUCCU